rnacentral:misc_RNA from 1 species
CCAAUUAAGACUCGCAAGAGUCAUUAACACCUGUGCACUAUUUAUUGUUUCUGGGUGUCCUUUAAUUAGGCGCCCAACCUUAUUAACAUUACUAUUUGUCUGAUAUCUUAUAUAAUAAGAAA